rnacentral:rRNA from 1 species
GUACGGAAGGCAGCAGUGGGGAAUUGUUCGCAAUGGGCGCAAGCCUGACGACGCAACGCCGCGUGGAGGACGAAGAUCUUCGGAUCGUAAACUCCUGUCGAGUGGGACGAACGGCCCGGGACCUAAUACGUCUCGGGAGUGACGGUACCGCGAGAGGAAGCCCCGGCUAACUCCGUGCCAGCAGCCGCGGUAAUACGGGGGGGGCUAGCGUUGUUCGGAAUUACUGGGCGUAAAGGGCUCGUAGGCGGCCCCUUUAGUCGGACGUGAAAUCCCUCGGCUCAACCGGGGAAUUGCGUCCGAUACUGGGGGGCUCGAAUCCGGGAGAGGGAUGCGGAAUUCCAGGUGUAGCGGUGAAAUGCGUAGAUAUCUGGAGGAACACCGGUGGCGAAGGCGGCAUCCUGGACCGGUAUUGACGCUGAUGAGCGAAAGCCAGGGGAGCAAACGGGAUUAGAUACCCUGGUAGU